GGUAGGGUGGCCGAGAGUCCAGGCGGUGGGUUGUAGCCCCGAAGACAGAGGUUUAAAUCCUCUUCCUAUCA
rnacentral:tRNA from 1 species